CUGCAUUUUCUAAAAUAUAUAUGUUUAUAAAAUUUUAGUUAAGCUUACAAAAAUAAAAUAAAAAUGUUAAGAAUGAUAAUCUCGACCGGCAACCCGUGCAACGCACGGGUCCAUAUCUAGUAUAUAUAUAAGAUAUCAAAAAAUUCUUAUCACUACAAGAAUAUUAGUUUUUAAUAGCAGUGAAGUAUAGCGUUUUAUGUAGUUAUGCUAUUAAUAAUUAACCUCUGAAUUUUAAAUAGCGUUUCCAAAAGUUGAAACGCUACGAUAAGUUGUCUAUAUGACAACUAAUACUCUCUUCCGAAUUGUUUUUAUUCUGAGUGUUUUUUACAAAGACAGGAUAUCAAAUACUAUAUCUAAAACGUUAUGGUAAGGUUAGCGGGAAAAAAGUGUGCCAAAAAUUUGGGAUAAAAAAUACCAAAAUCAAUUGAGUAAAAAUUAGGCUCCAAAUUGAAAAUUUUACGCAAAGUGGUCUUCCCCUUUUGCUCUGUGUUCUUCCCUUUUUUUGCUUAGGUGAUUAAAUUUCUUUUUUUCUUCAAUAAUUCUCUGAAAUUAGCUAUAGAGGAGUUUUUAACAAAAAAAAUUAGCUAUAGAGGAGGCCGCGGUGGAAACGUGGGUCCGAGCAUCUCUUUGCUUGCUCACUUGGUUCUCUAUCUAUCUCUCCCACACUUCGUUUUUCUCCAAAUCCAAAUCUACCCAAACCCUAAUUUUCAACUCUUCAACUUGAACCCCACCACCGCCUCUUUCUCUUUCAAAGACAUUCACCAUAUCCGCUUUGACGAUUCACCUUUCAGCACUUCCCUCGAGAGCUCAGAUCUCCGAUCUAGAGCAUUUCACUUCUUCUCCGCUCAAAAUCUGGAUAUUUUCGGCGAUAGGCAAUCCGGCCAAGUUGUUCGUUCUUAGAACGAUACUCAAAAAAUGACCGCGCUUUCGGCUGAGAAGAUAAAAGGAGAGACGCCAUGGAAAGAAGUAAGUUUCUCGAUCUCUCUCGUGUGAGCUCAGUUAUGGUUUUGUGUUCUUCCACUUCCUCCAUUGAGUAAUUAACCUAAUGUUCCCCCUUUGGUGUGGUUAAUAAUUUGACAGAUCUAAUAUAGGAAAAAAUUUGGUGUAAAUAUUAAAUAACAAAUUUUAUCCUUCACUUCUUUAUUUAUUCUAAAACAUAAAUGAAAAGAGAGGAUUAAUGAGUUCAGUAGCGUACGCGCAGAGAUGUUGGUGGAUUUGGUUAAUCGGAGCGAAGCUUUGUACGGCUGAAGCUGCCGUGUCAACCAUGGAGGUUUCGGUCUUCGUUGGCUCUCCUGGAACUGUCUUCUCCAUUACACCAAUCAAUUAAUUCUCUUUUCUCUGCAAGUAACUAGCAGCAAGUGAAUAAGAGACCGUGCUUGUAUAGGUCUGGUCUUAAUACAUAGAAGUGAGCAUUUGCAUGGACUAUGACACAUGGCAAACAUUGAAGGUGUCACCGACUGUGCGUGGCUUAUUUGA